UAUUGGACAAUGGGCGAAAGCCUGAUCCAGCCAUGCCGCGUGAGUGAUGAAGGCCCUAGGGUUGUAAAACUCUUUCAACGGUGAAGAUAAUGACGGUAACCGUAGAAGAAGCCCCGGCUAACUUCGUGCCAGCAGCCGCGGUAAUACGAAGGGGGCUAGCGUUGUUCGGAAUUACUCGGCGUAAAACGCAAGUAGGCGGAUACGUAAGUUAGGGGUGAAAUCCCGGGGGUCAACCCCGGAACUGCCUUUAAUACUGGGUAUCUCGAGUUCGAGAGAGGUAAGUGGAAUUCCGGGUGUAGAGGUGGAAUUCGUAGAUAUUCGGGGGAACACCAGUGGCGGAGGCGGCUUACUGGCUCGGUACUGACGCUGGGGUGCGAAAGCGUGGGGAGCAAACAGG
rnacentral:rRNA from 1 species